rnacentral:rRNA from 1 species
UACGUAGGGGGCAAGCGUUAUCCGGAAUUAUUGGGCGUAAAGAGUACGUAGGUGGCAACCUAAGCGCAGGGUUUAAGGCAAUGGCUCAACCAUUGUUCGCCCUGCGAACUGGGAUGCUUGAGUGCAGGAGAGGAAAGCGGAAUUCCUAGUGUAGCGGUGAAAUGCGUAGAUAUUAGGAGGAACACCAGUGGCGAAGGCGGCUUUCUGGACUGUAACUGACGUUGAGGCUCGAAAGCGUGGGGAGCAAACAGG